UGGUCAAGUUAUUAAGGGUGCAGGGCGGAUGCCUUGGCACUAGGAGCCGAUGAAGGACGUGAUAAGCUGCGAUAAGCUUCGGGGAGUUGCACGUAAACUUUGAUCCGAAGAUUUCCGAAUGAGGAAACUCACUUAGAGUAAUGUCUAAGUAUCAUUAAGUGAAUACAUAGCUUAAUGAGGGGAACUCAGGGAACUGAAACAUCUAAGUACCUGAAGGAAGAGAAAGAAAUUCGAUUCCGUAAGUAGCGGCGAGCGAACGCGGAUUAGCCCAAACCAAUAAAGUUUUCUUUAUUGGGGUUGAGGACAUACCACAUAUAAGAGGUCAUUAUAGACGAAGAAGUUUGGAAAAACUCAUCAUAGAAGGUAAUAAUCCUGUAGUCAAAAUAAUAAUUCUUUAGG
rnacentral:rRNA from 1 species